GUUUGUAAUAUCCUCCAUACAUUGGGGCAACAUUUUCAAUUAAUAAUAGAAUGGCCAUUUAAAUAUUUGUUAUACCGUAUACAGAAGCUCUCUCUCUCCCUUCCCAACUCGAAUGGUGAACAUAAUUUGCAACAUUUGAUGUGUGUUUACCUUUGCUGUUGCCUUUGUUUGUUAGAAUCGAAGUUAUUGCGGUCUAAAAUUGGAUUUAAUACAAUCAUGGUUUAUUGUUUAACAAGUCUAAUGAAAUUAGGUUCAGUCGAAUCAAUGAUUUGAUGAAUGGCAUGGAUGUUUCAGUUAGAUGUGUAUGAAUAGGGAUGUGCCACUUUUCGUAAACUGUUGAAAAGUGAGAAGCUAAAGGAAAUACGCAGCAGCAAUGCGUUUAAAUCAAACUGAAUAAAGCAAACAGUUUGGAAAUACAAAACUA